GUCUACGACUAUACCACCCUGAAUGCACCUGAUCUCGUCUGAUCUCAGAAGCUAAGCAAGGUCAGGCCUGGUUAGUACUUGGAUGGGAGAAUGAGAGUAUCUGACAUAACACU
rnacentral:rRNA from 1 species